rnacentral:rRNA from 1 species
UACGUAGGUGACCAGCGUUGUCCGGAUUUACUGGGCGUAAAGAGCGCGCAGGCGGUCGUUCAAGUCGAGUGUGAAAGCCCCCGGCUCAACUGGGGAGGGUCAUUCGAUACUGAUCGACUGGAAGGCAGGAGAGGGAAGCGGAAUUCCCGGUGUAGUGGUGGAAAUGCGUAGAUAUCGGAAGGAACAUCAGUGGCGAAAGCGACUUCCUGGACCAAUACUGACGCUCAUGUGCGAAAGCGUGGGGAGCAAACAGG